rnacentral:tRNA from 1 species
GGAAGUAUGGGCAAAUGGCAAGCCGUCGGCCAAACAUGCCGAAAUCCGAGGGUUCGAAUCCCUCUACUUCUA